GACAGAGGUGCCAAGCGUUAGGCGGAAUCACUGGGCUUAAAGCGUGUGUAGGCGGAUCGUUAAGUACCUUUGUGAAAUCCCACGGCUCAACCGUGGAACUGCUCGGUAUACUGGCGGUCUUGAGCCACCUAGGGGCAACUGGAACAAGCGGUGGAGUCGUGAAAUGCGUAGAUAUCGCUUGGAACGCCAACGGUGAAAACAGGUUGCUGGGGGUGUGCUGACGCUGAGACACGAA
rnacentral:rRNA from 1 species